CCUACGGGAGGCAGCAGUGGGGAAUAUUGGGCAAUGGGCGCAAGCCUGACCCAGCAACGCCGCGUGAAGGAAGAAGGCUUUCGGGUUGUAAACUUCUUUUAUCAGGGACGAAGCAAGUGACGGUACCUGAUGAAUAAGCCACGGCUAACUACGUGCCAGCAGCCGCGGUAAUACGUAGGUGGCAAGCGUUAUCCGGAUUUACGGGGGGGAAGGGGCGUGUAGGCGGGAGUGCAAGUCAGAUGUGAAAACUAUGGGCUCACCCCAUAGCCUUCAUUGGAAACUGUACUUCUUGCGUGCUGGAGAGGCAAUCGGAAUUCCGUGUGUAGCGGUGAAAUGCGUAGAUAUACGGAGGACCACCAGUGGCGAAGGCGGAUUGCUGGACAGUAACUGACGCUGAGGCGCGAAAGCGUGGGGAGCAAACAGGAUUAGAUACCCGUGUAGUC
rnacentral:rRNA from 1 species